UAUACGACUCUCGACAACGGAUAUCUUGGCUCUCGUAUCGAUGAAGAACAUAGCAAAAUACGAUACUUGGUGUGAAUUGCAGAACCUCGUGAACCGUCGAGUCUUUGAAUGCAAGUGGCCCCCGAGUCCAUCCGGUAGAGGGCACGCCUGCCUGGGCGUCAUGCC
rnacentral:rRNA from 1 species